ACCAGUGUAGUGUAGUGGUUUAAAUGUUAAACUAUGACUCUAGAUACCAGGGUUCGAUUCCCUGCUCAGCUA